GUGAGGAAUAUUGGUCAAUGGACGAGAGUCUGAACCAGCCAAGUCGCGUGAAGGAAGACGGUUCUAUGAAUUGUAAACUUCUUUUGUGCAGGAAUAAAGUGGGUUACGUGUAACCUUUUGUAUGUACUGUACGAAUAAGGAUCGGCUAACUCCGUGCCAGCAGCCGCGGUAAUACGGAGGAUCCGAGCGUUAUCCGGAUUUAUUUGGUUUAAAGGGUGCGUAGGUGGAUUGAUAAGUCAGCGGUGAAAGUUUGCAGCUUAACUGUAAAAUUGCCGUUGAAACUGUCGGUCUUGAGUGCAAAUGAGGUAGGCGGAAUGUGUUGUGUAGCGGUGAAAUGCUUAGAUAUAACACAGAACUCCGAUUGCGAAGGCAGCUUACUGGGAUGCAACUGACACUGAUGCACGAAAGCGUGGGUAUCAAACAGGAUUAGAAACCCGUGUAGUCC
rnacentral:rRNA from 1 species